rnacentral:rRNA from 1 species
AGUGAACGCUGGCGGUAGGCCUAACACAUGCAAGUAGAACGGCAGCACAGUAAGAGCUUGCUCUUACGGGUGGCGAGUGGCGGACGGGUGAGGAAUACAUCGGAAUCUACUUUUUCGUGGGGGAUAACGUAGGGAAACUUACGCUAAUACCGCAUACGACCUACGGGUGAAAGCAGGGGAUCUUCGGACCUUGCGCGAUUGAAUGAGCCGAUGUCGGAUUAGCUAGUUGGCGGGGUAAAGGCCCACCAAGGCGACGAUCCGUAGCUGGUCUGAGAGGAUGAUCAGCCACACUGGAACUGGGACACGGUCCAGACUCCUACGGGAGGCAGCAGUGGGGAAUAUUGGACAAUGGGCGCAAGCCUGAUCCAGCCAUACCGCGUGGGUGAAGAAGGCCUUCGGGUUGUAAAGCCCUUUUGUUGGGAAAGAAAAGCAGCAGGUUAAUACCCCGCUGUUCUGACGGUACCCAAAGAAUAAGCACCGGCUAACUUCGCG